GCUAAUUUCUUUAUUGUGGCUAUAAUAAUGAGCCAAUCAGAUCCCAAUUUGGUGAUCUGAUAGAGAUGGCCAUUCCCUACAGAAUGGCGUUUUUAGAUUUCUUGUAACAGUGUGAGCAUACAGAAGCGGGGGCGGGGCUAAUUUUUUAAAUACACCGGUUUCAGUGUGAGCAUACAGCAGUCUGGAGCCAAAAUUUGGUCAAAUGUUGGCGCAUUGUGCCACACCUUCUGCCUUACAGGCAGAGGCUGAGACGAAGCCCUGCCGGUUCAUGUUGGGCUGGUGGGGUAGUCGCCCAUUGCGGUUUUGUUUGUCGUAUGCUGCGGUGGCAAUACGAAAGUGUCUAAUCGUAACGUAAACCAACUCCAUCCUGGACCUGAACCAGCAGGUUCAGGGGAGCCAGUAUACUGUGUCUGUAGAAGGUGAGAAAAGAAAAAUAGCUGCAGGCGAGUUGCUGCGGCUUAUCUGCGAUCAGUUUAUCUUUCAGCAGCAUCGUUUUCAGACGCGUUUCGGGCCUCGGUUUCAAGAAUGGCACUUGCAUUCAAUAUUCAAUGCAGAGUCCGGCGUUUCUGGUGCUGGCGUCCUGAUCCUGGGCAGCCUCAGUGUCGUCCUGAGGUUCAGAUUGACCAACAUAAGCUAUUCUUGGGCAUUUGUGUGACUCAUCCGUAACGUCCCACAGUUAGAUCUACAAUAUCGAACUGCGCAAUUUCGUCAGCAACAAUAAAUGUAUUUAAUAUUGCUGUUGUUGGCUGCUGCUCUUGGGUGACUGCAUUCACCCCCGAUCUUGCGCGUUCCCUUGCCCUUGCUAAAAUAUCCGUACUGUAAUAAGUUUGUGUGGCUGCUGAUACCUCUUUCUGAGGGGGGGGUUGUGGCUCCUCAUACCCUUCAUACCCCAUGGCUCGCAUUGCUCUCCUAUUUGACGCGUCUGCCCUGUCUCUCCAAAGCUGUUCCAUUUCCGUGUAUGGCCGCUGGUAGGGUACAACUUCCAUACGAUUCCAUUCCUGCCUCUCAAUUUCCUUACGNGCUGUUGUUGGCUGCUGCUCUUGGGUGACUGCAUUCACCCCCGAUCUUGCGCGUUCCCUUGCCCUUGCUAAAAUAUCCGUACUGUAAUAAGUUUGUGUGGCUGCUGAUACCUCUUUCUGAGGGGGGGGUUGUGGCUCCUCAUACCCUUCAUACCCCAUGGCUCGCAUUGCUCUCCUAUUUGACGCGUCUGCCCUGUCUCUCCAAAGCUGUUCCAUUUCCGUGUAUGGCCGCUGGUAGGGUACAACUUCCAUACGAUGCCAUUCCUGCCUCUCAAUUUCCUUACGUAGGUGUGUGUUCAAGUAAUCGGAAUAUCGAGGUCUGGUUAGCCUACGGGGGACAUAUGGGUCGUUGAUGACUGCUGCUGCUUGCUGGUUAUUGUGCGUUCUCAUUCGGUCAACAUAUCUCUUACAAACUUUCGCAUAAACCUCAUCCACCGUCUCAAGGCCCAGGUCCCGGUGGAUGGUAUCGUUACGAACAUACCAUGGGGCAUUAGUGAUAGUCCGUAACGUUUUGUUCUGCUCAGUUUGUAGGCGACCAAAUUCAAGGCUAGAGGCAAGGGGACCCCAAACAGGCAGAGUAUAUUGCCAUAUGGGUGCGAUGACUUGUUUAUACAGGAGUACCUUAGCAUUCAGGCAUAGUUUGCUGUUGCUGUUCAGCAGCCAAUGAAGCUUCUUCACUCUAGCCUUGAUUUUAGAAAUAGCUGCUGUGAUAUGGUGGUGGCAUUGCAACUUGGUAUCCAGGCGAACUCCGAGAUAGGGAUGAAAAGAGACAGUUUUCAGGACCUGUCCAGCGAUGUUGGGAACGAAUGCACCCUCAGGCUCCAGGGUAUUGCGGAGAGUGUGAAAAACAUGUANAGGCAGAGUAUAUUGCCAUAUGGGUGCGAUGACUUGUUUAUACAGGAGUACCUUAGCAUUCAGGCAUAGUUUGCUGUUGCUGUUCAGCAGCCAAUGAAGCUUCUUCACUCUAGCCUUGAUUUUAGAAAUAGCUGCUGUGAUAUGGUGGUGGCAUUGCAACUUGGUAUCCAGGCGAACUCCGAGAUAGGGAUGAAAAGAGACAGUUUUCAGGACCUGUCCAGCGAUGUUGGGAACGAAUGUACCCUCAGGCUCCAGGGUAUUGCGGAGAGUGUGAAAAACAUGUACAGUUUUGGAAGCAUUGAUGGUGAUGCCCCACUUUAUGGCCCAGUCAGAGACUCUGCCUAGAAACCGGUUCAAAUUGGAGAUGGCUACCCUCUGGGUACUGCCUCUGCCUAAAAUGGCUGUGUCGUCAGCAUACGUCGCCAGCAACAUAUUCGGGUCGCGUGGGAUGGGCAUGUCAGCAGUAUACAAGUUGUAUAGGACCGGCCCCAGUACGCUGCCUUGAGGUACUCCAGCCAUUAUCACCUUCUCUCCAGAUUUGACACCACCUGGGCACUCGACCAUAAAGGUACGUCCAUCCAAGUAGCUGCUGAGGCAUCUAUAUAGUGCCGUCGGAAGCAGCUGUUUCAUCUUGAGUUUCAGGCCAGUGUGCCAGACCCUGUCGAAAGCCUCUUGGAUAUCCAUGUAUACUGCUGAGCAAAACAUGUUCUUCUCAUACGUCUCCAAUAUGAAUUUGGUGACCCUUCCGAUUUGCUGCUCAGCUGCAUGUUCGUGCCUGAAUCCGAACUGGUGGUUAGNAGCCAUUAUCACCUUCUCUCCAGAUUUGACACCACCUGGGCACUCGACCAUAAAGGUACGUCCAUCCAAGUAGCUGCUGAGGCAUCUAUAUAGUGCCGUCGGAAGCAGCUGUUUCAUCUUGAGUUUCAGGCCAGUGUGCCAGACCCUGUCGAAAGCCUCUUGGAUAUCCAUGUAUACUGCUGAGCAAAACAUGUUCUUCUCAUACGUCUCCAAUAUGAAUUUGGUGACCCUUCCGAUUUGCUGCUCAGCUGCAUGUUCGUGCCUGAAUCCGAACUGGUGGUUUGGAAUUGCCUCAAUAAAUCCGUCUGCUUCCAUCAUCCUGGUCAGCAGAAGUCGCUCAAACAAUUUGGAUAGACCAGACAGCAAGCUGAUAGGUCUGUAGGAGGCCAAUUUGUCAGCUGGCUUGCCAGGCUUGGGGAUCAUUGAGACCACAGCUCGUUUCCAGAGGCUCGGGAAGCAGCCAAAUCUUAGCGCACUGUUGCAAAUCAGCACAAGGUAGAGCAGGGCAGAUUUGGGAAGCAGUUUUAUAGUCCGGUUGUCGAUGUUGUCCAUUCCAGGAGAUUUCCUCAAUUUCAGGUCCUUGAUCUGUGUCUCAACUUCAGACAAUGUGAUUGGUCUGAAGCUAGAGUUGGGUGUGGGGGGCUCCAUCAGGUCCAAUGACUCCUCAAUCGAUCGUCUGUCCUCCUCAGAAUUGCCAAGUAGAGGCUUGAACCUCUGCUCAAGAUGUGAAGCAAACGAUUCGGCCUUUUCCACAGUGCUCUUGCACCACGGGUCAUCCACAUCCUCCUGUCCGUCCUCAACAAACCGCCUCACAGGCAGAUUAGCAGGAGGCUGCCUUUUCAGCCCAUUGGUCAGCCUCCACAGUUUUUGCAUGCUGUAUCUAUCUGUGGGAUCAAUAGCAGCCAGUUGAGUGUCGACUCGCCUCGCCUUUGCAGCCUCAAUCUCCUUGUGGAUCCUAUUCGCCAACGCAUUAUGCAGCUGUUGCGCUGCCGGAUCGCGUCUUUUCCUCAGCAGGUUCCGCAGACGCCUCUUGGUGUCGAUCAUCAGGCGGACACGAUUCGUCAAAGGCACCUCUGUCUGAAAUCUGGGUCGGACGGGCUUCAUCAGAUUGCUCCUAGCAAGCUCAGCAGCUUGAAUGAUGUUGUUCUGCAGAAUGUCUGCAGCAUCAUCAACAUCCUCAGCUGACCUUAACUCCGUGUUAAGGUGUAUGUGUGAGUCCAGCCAGGACUGGAACGUCGACACAUUUGAGCCUACCGGAAGCAGGCGCCUUUUCGUAGUAAUCUCCGCUGGAGACUCUCGGAUCUCUAUAAACAUGGGCAAAUGAUCGGAAGAAAGCUCGUUCUGGUCGUGUAUGUGUAGCAGCUCACCUCGGAUGCCUUUAUACACAGCAAAGUCGAUCGCUGAGGGGGCGUGAAGGGUGUUGUAUGGAAAGUGUGUUGGCGACCCACUAGCCAAAACAUUGCAGCUGCUCCUCUGUAUCGACCUGAGCAAGGUUCCUCCUCUCUUGCAAGCUCUAAGAUUGCCCCACCAAGAGUUUUUAGCGUUCCAGUCGCCUGCAGCGAUGAAAUGCGAGCCGAAUUGGCCAAACAGUUGCGCAAAACCCUCCUCCGUCCAUUGCUGCUGCGGUGGGCAGUAUAUGGACCAUAUGCUGACACGCAUACUACCUUGCAUCAUCACGUGAACACCAGCAGCCUGGAUGUGUUCCGUGGAAAUGCAAGGCAGCGACAUAUGGGGGAUUGUAGAUCUAAUUAGGAGUAAAGCGCCUCCUCGACUAGACCCAGAUGGAUGGUGAGUUGUAUAUGUGCAGUAUCCAUGCACGCUGAAGGUUUCUGAGUUUUUAAAAUGAGACUCAGAAACCAUCAUGACGUCCACUUCGUGCCUGCACAUGUAUUGCUCCAGCUCCGCAGUCUUCCCACGAAUCCCCGAGGCGUUCCAAAAUACAAUUUUCGAACAAUCAUCGCUCCGACUGGUGCCGAUUUGACGAGAAGAAUUCCCGGUGAGUGUUCUAUACAUUUCGGGCCAAAGUAUUGGCCUGAAUUGUGGCGAGUAGACAUUUCGUGAGCCUUGUCAUCUGUUCGACUAACUGGUCCAUUUUGUUUUCCAGUCUCUGAGUAGCUUCAGCCACCGCUGGCUGGACCCGCUCCUGAGUUAACAGGCUGAUGAGUGUGUCAAGCUUCCGACUCAGAUCACUGGAAUGGACCGACUGAUUGCCCAGCCCAGGGCGUGAAACAACUUCAUCCGCCAGAACAUCGGCAUACGUUGGCGCAUUUUGCCACACCUGCUGCCUCACAGGCAGGGGUUGAGUCGAACUCUGAGGCUGUCCACCUCGUACAGCAGAAGCAUAGCUGCCUUGGAGCACAGGAGGUGCUGGAGCUCUGGCGCCUGAGCGCGCACGACGUCGGCUUGAUUUCUGCAGCUUUGGAAAGCCCUGCUGGUCCAUAUUGGGUGGCACGCGGGGUCGUCGCAAGCCCAUUGCAGCUGGUAAGGUAGGCAUAUUUAACCUCGACAACAUAUUGUUAGUUUUGGCUAGUCCGCUUUCCCUUUUCUUGCAGUACUCUUUGAACUUCGUGCACCCACGGUAGCUGGCAACAUGGGCACCUCCACAAUUUGCACACUUUGGUGCCUCCUCACGCUUCUUGGGGCAGUCUUUGGGCUCAUGCCUGUCCCCGCAUUUAACGCAGAUAACUGCACGGCUGCAGUAGUUCUUGGUGUGCCCGAACAUCUGGCAUUUGUGGCACUGAGGCACUCCAGGAGACCGUAUUGGCUUCUCGAUUUUAACCCGCUGGCUGCAGAUAGCGGUCACCUCAAAGAUGGACGGAUUGUUAGCUUGGGGCUCCAACUCGACUUCGAAAAGAUCCAAUGGUUCCUUAGUGAACCGCUUGUAAAUAUUUGAAAUGUGCCUGACCACAUGUCCCAUAGCUUUGAGUUGUCCGCACACCCAAUCUGUGGGUGUCGAACGAUGAAGGUGGCGUAUAACAACGCGCAGACCCUUGUCGCUCCUCAAGCGAAAGGUGUGAAAAUCGACACCCUGUCCGUCCGAAUCCUUAGCGCUCAGCAUUUGGACCAGCUUCCUGUGACCGUCAAUUGUGUGACAGGUCACUUUUAAGCAUC
rnacentral:lncRNA from 1 species